GGCCUCCUAGUGCUUACCACAGACUGUUCUUACCCUGACUGUACAGAAAUUAGAGGCAGAGUAAACUCACGCCAUAUACAUCUAGGCUCAGGCCCUUUGCCUGGUCUGUAUUAUAAAUGGGGAGAUAAAA